rnacentral:rRNA from 1 species
UGAGACCGGCGCACGGGUGCGUAACGCGUAUGCAAUCUACCUUUCACAGAGGGAUAGCCCAGAGAAAUUUGGAUUAAUACCUCAUAGCAUAGCAGUCUCGCAUGAGACCACUAUUAAAGAUUUAUCGGUGAAAGAUGAGCAUGCGUCCCAUUAGCUAGUUGGUAUGGUAACGGCAUACCAAGGCUACGAUGGGUAGGGGUCCUGAGAGGGAGAUCCCCCACACUGGUACUGAGACACGGACCAGACUCCUACGGGAGGCAGCAGUGAGGAAUAUUGGACAAUGGGCGCAAGCCUGAUCCAGCCAUGCCGCGUGCAGGAUGACGGUCCUAUGGAUUGUAAACUGCUUUUAUACAGGAAGAAACACCUCUACGUGUAGAGACUUGACGGUACUGUAAGAAUAAGGAUCGGCUAACUCCGUGCCAGCAGCCGCGGUAAUACGGAGGAUCCAAGCGUUAUCCGGAAUCAUUGGGUUUAAAGGGUCCGUAGGCGGUUUAGUAAGUCAGUGGUGAAAGCCCAUCGCUCAACGGUGGAACGGCCAUUGAUACUGCUAGACUUGAAUUAUUAGGAAGUAACUAGAAUAUGUAGUGUAGCGGUGAAAUGCUUAGAGAUUACAUGGAAUACCAAUUGCGAAGGCAGGUUACUACUAAUAUAUUGACGCUGAUGGACGAAAGCGUGGGUAGCGAACAGGAUUAGAUACCCUGGUAGUCCACGCCGUAAACGAUGGAUACUAGCUGUUGGGAGCAAUCUCAGUGGCUA